rnacentral:rRNA from 1 species
UACGUAGGGGGCAAGCGUUGUCCGGAUUUAUUGGGCGUAAAGAGCGUGUAGGCGGCUUUACAGGUCCGUUGUGAAAACUCGAGGCUCAACCUCGAGACGCCGGUGGAAACCGUAAAGCUAGAGUCCGGAAGAGGAGAGUGGAAUUCCUGGUGUAGCGGUGGAAAUGCGCAGAUAUCAGGAAGAACACCCGUGGCGAAGGCGGGUCUCUGGGCCGAUACUGACGCUGAGGAGCGAAAGCGUGGGGAGCGAACAGG